CCGGGGGAAGGAGCACCCCAUGGACCCUCAGGGGAAGGAGCACCUCAUGGACCUCCAGCUUACCUGGAAGAAAGGGCACCCCAUGGCCCCCCAGGUUGUUUGGGAGAAGGAGCACCCUGGGGACCCCCAAUUUGCCCAGGAGAAGGGGCACCCCGUGGAUACCCCCAGCCCUCCUGGAAGAAGGAGCACCUCAUGGACGGCGAACGCAUCCAGGAGAAAGAGUAUCCCAUGGACACCCAACGUACCUGGAAGAAGGGGCACCCCAUGGACAGCGAACUUGUCCAGGAGAAGGAGUAUCCCAUGGACCCCCAACCUACCUGGAAGAAGGGGCACCCCGUGGACCCCCCCAGUCCACCUGGCAGAAGGAGCACCCUGGGGACCCCCAACCUACCUGGAAAAAGGGGCAGCCCAUGAACCUCCCCCCAUGCCCAGGACCAGGGGCCCCCCAUGUACCCUCAGUGCCCCCCAGGCUGCCCCCCCCAGCGCCCAGCACUGUACCCCGCUCGCUUUCAUAUCUUUAUUAGAAAAAAAAACCCAAACUGAACCCAAAGUUCCUCUCUGGUCGCCCGCCCCCCCCGAGGUGUCUUGGCCCGGCCGCGGGGUGCACAGGGGGGUCCCCCCACCCCGGCUGGGGGGGGCACGGGGCGGGGGGUGCUGGAGAGGGGCCCCCAUGGGCCGACGCUCUUUGGUUGGUGCCCGCGGGGGCCGGGGGGGUCCCCCCUCUGCACCCACGUGCUGCGGGGGGGGUUAUGGCUUUGGGGGGCACCCGCGCACCCCCCCGUGUGGGUGCUGGGUGGGGGUCCAUGCACACCCGUGCCGUGCGUGCGGAGGGGGGGGGGCCGGGGGUGCACCUGCAUGCGGGGACACACGUGUGCAGACGUGUGCUCCCAGGUGUCCCCCACUAGCCCUGUGUGUGCCCCACUAGUCCCGGGUGCCCCCAGGUAGCCCCAGGCGUGUUCCACCAGCCCUGUGUGUCCCCCACUAGCCCCGGGUGCCCCCAGGUAGCCCCAGGUGUCCUGCACUAGUCCUGUGUGCCCUCAGUAGUCCCAGGUGUCCCCAGGUAGCCCCAGGUGUCCCCCACUAGUCCCUGAUGCCUACCAGAUAGCUCCAGGUAUCCCCCACUAAUCCUGUGUGUGCCCCACUAGUCCCGGGUGCCCCCAGGUAGCCCCAGGUGUCCUGCACCAGUCUUGUGUGCCCCCAGGUAGCCCCAGGUGUCUCCCACUAGCCCUGUGUGUACCCCACUAGUCCCGGGUGCC